AGCAGCCGCGGUAAUUCCAGCUCCAAUAGCGUAUAUUAAAGUUGUUGCAGUUAAAAAGCUCGUAGUUGAAUUUCGGGGUCAGUAGGCUGGUCGUGCCACAGGUAUGAACUGGUCUCACUGAUUCCUCCUUCCUGAUGAACCGUAAUGCCAUUAAUUUGGUGUUGCGGGGAGACUGGACUGUUACUUUGAAAAAUUAGAGUGUUUAAAGCAGGCUAACGCUUGAAUACAUUAGCAUGGAAUAAUGAAAUAGGACGUUCGGUCUUAUUUUGUUGGUUUCUAAGAUUGACGUAAUGAUUAAUAGGGAUAGUUGGGGGCAUUAGUAUUCAAUUGUCAGAGGUGAAAUUCUUGGAUUUUAUUGAAGACUAACUACUGCGAAAAGCAUUUGCCAGGGAUGUUUUCAUUAAUCAAGAACGAAAGUUAGGGGAUCGAAGACGAUCAGAUACCGUCGUAGUCUUAACCAUAAACUAUGCCGACUAGGGAUCGGAUGAUGUUAAUUUUUAAUGACUCAUUCGGCGCCUUA
rnacentral:sRNA from 1 species